CUCCGAUUCUGUUAAUGAGAUUCCGGCACCAGUCCCUGAUCUUCGGAAUCACCGGCGACCGGCAGGCACAUCAAUCGGUGACGCUUCUCCUUCAGAUUGUUCCCCGUAGGCGACCUCCUUAUUUGGUUUCUCCUCCAGCUCCGGUUGUCCUCAUCUUCCUCCAGAACGUCGUUAAGAAUAUGACGGCUCGUGGUUGCGAGCAAGAAGCUUGUGGGAGGAGUUCCACAAACAAAUUGGAGUUUCCUGAUUUAAAAUAUGGACUGGAUGUGAGUGUAUAGAUCUGGACAAUGAGGGGACAAAGUUUAGCCUGGAACUCUUCUCCUUUGCAUUUGCAGUAGUAGAUUUCGAAAAUCAUAUGAAUUUGGAUAUUGAAGCCUCCAUUGACCAAGAGAUCAUUCAACCAACCAAGAAAUGCUAAAAUGAAGUCUCGCACUGAAGGUGGCAAAAUUAUGCCUAUGG